GUGGCGGGCAGGCGGGACCGGGCGACCUGGACACGGUCGCGGUACAGCGUGGCGACGCUGUGCCCGCUGUUCGGGUCGGCGCCGUAGCG
rnacentral:tRNA from 1 species